rnacentral:rRNA from 1 species
CCUACGGGUGGCAGCAGUGGGGAAUAUUGGACAAUGGGGGCAACCCUGAUCCAGCCAUGCCGCGUGUGUGAAGAAGGCCCUCGGGUUGUAAAGCACUUUCAGUGAGGAAGAACGCCUGGUGGUUAAUACCCAUCAGGAAAGACAUCACUCACAGAAGAAGCACCGGCUAACUCCGUGCCAGCAGCCGCGGUAAUACGGAGGGUGCGAGCGUUAAUCGGAAUUACUGGGCGUAAAGCGCGCGUAGGUGGCUUGAUAAGCCGGUUGUGAAAGCCCCGGGCUCAACCUGGGAACGGCAUCCGGAACUGUCAAGCUAGAGUGCAGGAGAGGAAGGUAGAAUUCCCGGUGUAGCGGUGAAAUGCGUAGAGAUCGGGAGGAAUACCAGUGGCGAAGGCGGCCUUCGGGACUGACACUGACACUGAGGUGCGAAAGCGUGGGUAGCAAACAGGAUUAAUACCCGAGUAGUC